rnacentral:rRNA from 1 species
UACAGAGGUCUCGAGCGUUGUUCGGAUUCAUUGGGCGUAAAGGGUGCGUAGGUGGCGCCGUAAGUCGGGUGUGAAAUCCCGGGGCUUAACCCCGGGACUGCAUUCGAUACUGCGGUGCUUGAGGACUGGAGAGGAGACUGGAAUUCAUGGUGUAGCAGUGAAAUGCGUAGAGAUCAUGAGGAAGACCAGUGGCGAAGGCGGGUCUCUGGACAGUUCCUGACACUGAGGCACGAAGGCCAGGGGAGCAAACGGG